GAAACUCGCCCAAAGAUUUGUAAUAAAUACAAUUCUGUAGAAAAACAUCUUGCCUGUCUCCCGAGAAGUCACUUGGUUGAGGAGUUAAUCCUCAAUCUAGAGGAACUCGGUUCGAGACCCGGCACCGAGAGAAAGAAGAAGAGAGAAAGAAGAAAAUAUGAGGUAUUUCAAAAUACCUCUCUUUUGCUGCUCUCCUCUCCUCUGCUUGCGUAGCGUCUUUAAUCCCUUUCUCACUCUCUCAUCUUUUGUUUUUUCUACCAUUCUUCUCUUCCUCACGGGUAUGAUAUGCAGUUUGACAUUAAGUAUUCUUAUUUCACUUUACAAUCUAUUGAUUACCGAUAUCCUACGAGUCAAGUGAUGUUUGAGAAGUUGUGCAAAGAGAUAGAUUUGGGUCCUGAUGACGAUGAUACUACAUAAGUUCUCAUUUCUCAGCCAAUGGUAUUCUGAAAUGCCGGGGCUUCAAGUCAAUACUGAGGACCAAAAAAGUCGAGGCCACAUGAGCAAACACAAUAUAUACAAUCUGUUAAGGCAUUACUUCCUUAUUCUAGGACGAAAUUUGUGUUUCUGGUGAUGGCAAAUUGGCAAUAGGGAGUGGAACCACGGCUGCGACAGAGUUUUGCGUAGGCUUUUGGGUAUCCAAGGUUGUCGUUGAAGCCGUGACAUAUAUCUGCAUAUUACUGGUGCUAAAAAUGCUUUUGUUACUUUGACAUUUUAUCUUGGUGCAUUAUUGCCGUGUGUGCUGAUUCUCUGUUAUAUAUGCUCUAGAAUAGGCUAUCCGAAUGUAAUCUUGAUUGAAUAGGAACCACUUCAUAUAGUAUAUACCUCAAGAACCUGGUUUGAAGUAAAUUUGGCCUAUAUAGUGUUACUAGAUUUCUUUACGCCACCUACUAGUACCCCUGACCUUAUUCUGAUUUUGCUUCAUUUGAUUAGUUCUAGUGUUAUGCUUUUAUGAGUUAUCAAUUGGAAAAGUUGAUUUGUUUCCAUCAGAUGCUAAUGAUGUUAUAGAUGCUGUUGUCUAUUUUGGAUACAUGGUGAAUUUUACCUUGUGUCUGAAUUUAUUUACAAUGUUCUUUUUUUGUUUUAGGAUUUGUAUAAUGAAUUGUUUUAAUUAGGUCCAUGUUGCUUUAGGGGCAACUUGUGGUGUUGGUAUUUAAAUAAUCUUAUGAUCUUCUUUAUAGAAGCUGAGGAGCCCAAGGCCCAACAGAUUCAGUGAGGAAAUUUACGUCACAACUUAAUUUGUGGGAUCUUUUUUUAAUAAUCCCAUAAUCAAGAUGACUAAUGAUGGUAAUCUUCCAACAUCUGCAACUUCAGAGAGUACAGUUUCCAACAUCUGCAAUGUUACCUACUCAAACUAAGAAGCGUUCAGAGUCAUGGAAUCAUUUCAUUAGGGUGUGGCAUAGAAAAGAAAGUUGCAUGCCAUUGUUGGGGUGGAAAAAUCAAGUGUGAAAUGGAACUAGUUCUGUGCGUGCUCAUAUCAAUAGAUGUUGCGAUUACAAGAGGCAAAGAUUGUCAUUGUCAUCUUCAAUGACAAGUGCAGAAGGACAUGUGAAUUCUUCUUUAGUUGCCAAGUUUGACCAAGAGGCAAUUCGAAGAGCAAUGGUGAAGAUGUUCACAUGCUGUGUGUUUGCCUAGAUGUUGAGACUCGUUGGACUCAACAUAUAUAAUGUUGGUAGGUGCACUGAAACAUGAGAAGACCUUUGAAGAGUUAAGUUUUCAAGAUCAAAAGUAUGUGAAUGAGUUGACAAAUAAAGGAAAAGGUGUCCCGACGCAAUAAUUUUUUAAGUGUCCUUUUCUGUAUAUAUAUAUGUAUAUGAUAAUGCUGAUAAUGAGAAGAUGGAAUGAAUGAAGGCCAAGCAUGUGAUGUGGUUCCAUCAUGUUAGGCAGAGUGAGGAUGAUGGAAAAUUAACUAUUGCAGGUAUCAUAUGCAGUUUUAUGCUUAUUUCAGCUUACAAUCUAUUGAUUACCGAUAUCCUAAGAGUCAAGUGAUGUUUGAGAAAUUGUGCGAAGAGAUAGAUUUAGGUUUUGAUGACAAUGAUACUAGAUGAGUUCUCAUUUCUCAGACAAUGGUAUUCGACAAUAGGGAGUGAAACCACAGUUGCGACAGUGGGCUUUUGGGUAUCCAAGGUUGUCGUUGAUGACCACUUCCUUUGAGGUGAAACCGUAAUCUUGCGCUGAUUUUGAUUUUCUUUAAUUUUGAAGGAAUCCGUUGAAGCCGUGACAUAAAUCUGCAUAUUGCUGGUGCUAAAAUGCUUGUGUUACCUUGACAUUUUAUCUUGGUGCAUUGCAGCUAUUUGUGCUGAUUCUCUAUUAUAUAUGCUCAAGAAUCUGGUUUGAAGUAAAUUGGGCCUAUAUAGUGUUACUAGAUUCCUUAACACCACCUACUAGUACCCCUGACCUUAUUCUGAUUUUGCUUCAUUUGAUUUGUUUCCAUCAGAUGCUGUUGUAUAUUUUGGAUACAUUAUGAAAUUAACAUUCCCUGGUUUUUUGUGUCAAACCACACAAAGUUACAGUUCACAGUUUUCAGUUUCAUGGCCCAUAAGCUUUAUUCUUCUCCUCAAAAUCAUAAUCUUUGAUUCUUUCCCAUUAGGUAAUCCUCUUUAAUUAGGCUCAUAUCUCAUUCCUCCAUUGACUCUAAUUAUACAAAUUGUCUUUGUAUGAAAUACUAAAUUGUUGCCCCAUCAUCAUACCAAGCAAAGAUGGAUAUAUGCAUGAAUUCCUCCCUUCUAGGAUUCCCUAUCCACUUUCACUUUUUCAUUUAUCUUCAAACCUUAAUGUGAACAUCAUUGGCUGCACCUAUGUCUUCCUUUGUGUCUUCACUUGUGAGCCAUCCCUUUUCUUAUCCUUUUAUUUUUCAUUUAUAAAUUUAAUUGUCAUUUACUUGCUAUUUUUCUUGUUAUUUGGUAUAGCUUUGCCCUUAACCUGUAAAAAUUUCAAUCAUGUAGAACUUAAUUUUACACAAAUUAAAUCCAAAUUGUAU